GAGGGUACUAGCCUGCAGAUAGAUGCUUGCCAUCCUAGAAGGAAGUCUGGAUCCUGAACAUUUUUCUAAACAACAAUGCUAAAUUGGGGGAUCAGCUGACACAGCCGAUAGCAAUCCAGAGGCACCUUCAGACACCUGGGGAUUGGAUGACCAGAAGUCUCCUUCAGCAAAUGCUUCCUAACAGAGCACCCAAGUAGGACAUCCUUAUUAUAGGUAAGUCUGUAUUGCUGUGUGACAGAACCGUUAACUGCUUCAUCUUGCUAUAAAUUAGCAGAGCACAGACUGGAAAAAUCUUGAUCUGUCUAUUCCUGCUGUCUAACUCUUAGGUAACAGAUCUUUUCUUUUUAAGCAGACAAGCCACCUUUUGUUCUACAGUGUUGGGCUCAGUCAUGGAUA